UACGUAGGGGGCUAGCGUUGUCCGGAAUCAUUGGGCGUAAAGAGCGUGUAGGCGGCCCGAUAAGUCCGCUGUGAAAGUCCAGGGCUCAACCCUGGAAUGCCGGUGGAUACUGUCGGGCUCGAAUCCGGAAGAGGUGAGUGGAAUUCCUGGUGUAGCGGUGAAAUGCGCAGAUAUCAGGAGGAACACCAAUGGCGAAGGCGGUUCUCUGGGCCUUACCUGACGCUGAGGAGCGAAAGCAUGGGGAGCAAACAGG
rnacentral:rRNA from 1 species